rnacentral:ncRNA from 1 species
CUAUGACUUAGGUUUGUCAUGGCGGAAGGAG